CUCCCCCAGCAAAUACAUGAAAAAUUUUAGAAUACACCGAAUAUAUUAGUGACAUGGCGUCACAAACCAAUUAAAUAAAUUUUUUUAAAAAUAUAUGUCCUAUCAUGAUUAUAAAAAAAUAUUUUUAUUAUAUUUUUAUUUGAAAAGAAAAAAUACGAUUGACUUGUUAUUGAUGACGUGGUGCAAGCGUGACAGUGCAGAAAUUCUCGCAAAUAC
rnacentral:lncRNA from 1 species